UUUAAAACCUUUCCAGGUUGACAGGUUACAGAACAUCACGGAGGGAAGCCAAGCCAGGAACUCCAGGCAGGAGAUUGAAGCAGAAACCACAGAGGAAUACUGCUUAGGAGCAUGCUCUUUCUGGCUUGCUCAACUUGCUUUCUUAAACGGCCCAGACCCCACUUGCCUAGCAAUGGCACUGCCCACAGUAGGGAGGACACGCCCACCAUAGACCAAUCUCAUGUUCCUCAGCUAAGGUUCCCUCUUCCCAAGUGAUUCUAGUUUUUUGUGGAAAUGAAAAACAAAAACAAAAAUAACUUAACCAAUAUACAGGACCUCACUAUGUAGUAUAGGCUGGCCUCGAUCUCAAAGUAAUUCACCUUUCUCAGACUCCUUCGAGCUACGAUUACAGGUAUGCACCAACCACACCGAGCCUGGACUCAUCUUUCAGACACAUGAUGGUAAGAAGUAAGCUCAGAAACCAAGCUGGAUCUGAGCUGGAAGUUUCCUUCUUGCUAGAUAUCUCCUCCCCACGGCCCCCUUCCAGACAGGGUUUCUUUGUGUGGCCUUGGUUGUCCUAGAACUUGCUCUGGACACCAGCUUAAUCAGUCUCAACCAGGCUAACCUCAGACUCACAGAGUGCCAGAAUUAAAGGUGUGCACCACCCUUCCCUGGCUGCUGACUACCUUUCAUUGUGCCAAAAGAUAUAAACUGCUGAGGGAGACAAUUUUUCAGUGGUCCCACCCACUUGUGAGCUACAAUACUAAGCUGCCAGGCAAGACAAGUUCACUGGUACAAUAAUGGCCUGACUGUUAGGGGGGAAUCAACUGCUUUCUAACAAGAUUUUAGGCCUGCUCCACAAGAGAGAAUUCU
rnacentral:lncRNA from 1 species